CUCCUGCCUCAGCCUCCUGAGUAACUAGGACUACAGGCAAGUAGCUGGGACUACAUACGUGUACCAGCACACCCAGCUAUUUUUUUUAAAAAACUUUGUAGAAUUUUGAAUGAGCCACAGUGCCUGGCUGAGGAUGGUUUCGAGUUAAAAGUUUUAACGCUGUUACAAUUUAUAGUUUCACAAGAAUGUUUAAACAUCAGAUAAGUUUGAUCAUAAGACUGUUUCCUAGUAUUUAUUUUAUAACGCUCUAGAAUUUCUCCAAAUAUAUUAGAGGGUGGCAUAGCAGUCUAAAAAAUAUUAAUUUUUUUAUUUUUUUAAUGCCAUAGAACAUUUUUGCUCAAAUCAAAUAAUGAUGGUAUUGCAAUUCUGAAAAUGUUUGGAGUUACUGGCCUAAAGGUAAGGGGAGCAAGAUUAGUUGAUAAGUUGAAUGAAUAGACAGGGCAGAGCCAGUAUACCUUUGGUGAACUAGUAAGUUUAUUUGCGUGGGACAUUUUUUUUCUCUUUGCAGUACUGGCAUAGCUGGGUGCAGUGGCUCAUGCCUAUAAUCCCAGCACUUUGGGAGGCCGAGGCGGGCAGAUCACUUGAGCCCAGGAGUUAGAGACCAGCCUGGGCAACAUGAUGAAACCCCAUCUCUACAAAAAGUAGAAAAAUUAGCCAGGUGUGGUGGUGCACACCUGUAGUCUAAGCUACUUGGGAGGCUGAGAUAGGAGGAUUGCUUGAGGCAGGGAGGUCAAGGCUGCAGUGAGCUGAGAUCAUGCUACUGCACUCCAGUCUGGGUGACAGGGCAAGAUUCUGUCUCAACAAACAAACAAACAAACUAGUACAGAAUAUUUCAUUAAAAUGUUUAUGUCAUUUGAAUUAUGUUAAUUAUACUUCCUAAAUGGAAUAAUGGUAUCUUAUUAUUAAACCAGAAUAAUAAAUAUGAACUUGAAUAUAUUUAAAUGCUAGGCACCAUUCUAUGAAAAUCUGUCUGCUUCAUGUUUAUUAUUGAAAUAAUCUAAAUUAAUUUUAGAACACUUAAAAUCGAAAACAUCUCCAAAGUGUAGUUCUUCUCUUUCUAACAGUAUGAUAGUUCAUUUGUUUAAGAAAACUAUUCCCAUUAUUUGGGUAUUCAAACAUGUUUUUACUUAGGAGCUCUUUUUGCAUGGAAUGUACUAGACUGUGGUAUUGGAUGAUAAUGGAAAGAAGAUAAUCUCCCCAUUCGUAAAAUCAGAAAUUUAUUUGAUCAAUAAAACUUCUUUUCUGGAACACAACUCCUUGGAUGUGUGAGCCUAUCAGACAUUAGGAGAAUAAUUUUAAUAAGCUUUUGAAUGGAAGAUUUGAUCACUAUGAUUAGAGACGGAGCAGUGGGAGAUGAUAGUGUCUUGGUGCUAGCACCAAGCUAGCACUAAUAGAUGAUGGCACCUAUUUAUGACCCAAAUUCUAAAUUUCUUUUGGUAUUUAGAGACAUCUCCCAAAUAUGUAUUUCCCCAUAGUGAUUAUUCUAACUGACCUUUAGCAUUCUGUCUGUCCUAGACAUCUGUAUAAAUGUUUUCAUUCUGUUGAACUUAGUGGUUUGAAUUCUAACUCCUGAGAAAAUUUCCACAUCUUUGCAUUUUGCUUCAGCCUUCUUUUCCCCAUAGUGUAAUGGGGAACAAGAGGUGUUUGGUUACAUGAGUAGGUUCUUUAGUGGUUAUUUGUAAGAUUUUGGUGCACCCAUCACCCAAGCAGUAUACACUGCAUCCUAUUUGUAGUCUUUUAUUCCUCACUCCCUUCCCACCCUUUCCCCCUGAGUCUCCAGAGUUGAGUCAUUCUUAUGCCUUUGGAUCCUCAUAGCUUAGCUCCCACUUAUGAGUGAGAACAUAUGAUGUUUGGUUUUGCGUCAGCCUUUUAAUUUUUUUUUUUUUUUUUUUUUUUGAGACGGAGUCUUGCUCUGUCAUCCAGGCUGGAGUGCAGUGGUGCGAUCUUGGCUCACUGCAACCUCCGCCUCCUGGGUUUAAGCAGUUCUGUUGCUCAGCCUCCCAAGUAGCUGGGAUUACAGGCGCCUGCCACCAUGCCCAGCUAAUUUUUGUAUUUUGAGUAGAGAUGGCUUUUCACCAUCUUGGCCAUGGUGGUCUUGAACUGCUGACCUUGUGAUCCACCUGCCUUGGCCUCCCUAAGUACUAGGAUUACAGGUGUGAACCACCAUGCCUGGCCUUUUUUUUUUUUUUUUUUGAGACAGAGUCGCACUCUUUGCCCAGGCUAUAGUGCUGCGGCGUGAUCUUGGCUCACAGCAACCUCCACUUCAUAAGGUUCAAGUGAUUCUCGAGCCUCAGCCUCCCAAGUAGCUGGGACUACAGGCGCAUACCACCACGCCUGGCUAAUUUUUUUAUUUUUAGUAGAGAUGAGGUUUUGCCAUUUUGGCCAGGGUGGUCUUGAAUUCCUGACCUCUGGUGAUCCACCUGCUUUGGCCUCCCAAAGUGCUGGGAUUAUAGGUGUGAGCUACCACACCCAGCCUUGUGACAGUGAUUCUUAUCUCAUAGUGCAAAAGAUGGCAUUUGGAUGGGAGAUAAUAGUUCAGAAAAGUUCCAUUCUACAGCAACUCCCAAUUUGAGGACCAUAGUUCUAAGAAAUAUCCACAAAGUCAGUUGAACUAUGAUUUUUAGCUACUUGGCAUAUAAAGUUUUGCUGGUAAGUAAUGACUUAAAUCCAUAACUUUUCAAAAACAUAAGCCUUACUUCAAAAGCAUUAUUUGUACAUUGUAGAAAAUUAGAAAAUACAGAAAAUCAUCUGCGGUAACUUUCCCAAAAAAGAGAAAAUACAGAUAAAAUAUUAAAUGAAAAUAUUCUUACCACCUACAGGCGACCAAUUUUAAUAUCUCCAUAAGUCUUCCCCAGCUCUAUCUUUUGACUUAAAUAGGAUCAUAUUUAACUAUUGUCUUGUAACUUGCCAUUUAAUAACCUCCAUCCUUCCGUGUCAAAAUAAUUUUUCACCUCUUCUCUUACUUAGUCUAUAUUCAGAUGUAAAUUGUUCAUCUCUUAUAUUUCCCAUAAGUGAAAGUUAGUCCUAGACUUGAAGCCUUUAUUAGCUGUAAGUUCAGCAAAAUGCCUUUCAGAGCCAGUUUGUCAAAGCCAGCAUCCAGUCUGGAGAAUACACCUGGCAUAUGGUUGUGUCCUUCAAUUCCCUUUCAAUCUAGUGGAGUGCUUUUUUUCAUGACACUGACUGAAGAGAUUGCACAGUUUUGGUUUUAAGUACAGAGACGUAGUACAUUUCUUAAUAAUAAAUGUUUAACUUUUGUGUGUUUUAACCUAAUUUGUUUUUUUAUUUUUAAAUUUAUAUUUUAUUUCAGCAAAACAAGCUAUCGAUCAGGGAAGAUCUCCAGUUAUAAUAGAUAACACUAAUAUACAAGCUUGGGAAAUGAAGCCAUAUGUGGAAGUGGUAAAUAUGAAACAUGAGAAAGUUUUUAUUUUUUAUUCUUGUCAAUUUUUUCACAUUCUAAAAUUUUGGCUAGUUGGAUCUUGAUUAUUAAAACAUUUGUCCUUUGUUUUCUAAAGAGGUUUGUUGGUUUGCUUAGUUUUUAAAAAAAUUAUGAAUGAUGUUUUUUAAGGAACAUGUUCAUCUUGUUAAUUUUUGUUUGUUUUUUUGAGACGGAGUCUCGCUCUGUCACCCAGGCUGGAGUGCAGUGGCACCAUCUUGGCUCACUGUAAGCUCUGCCUCCCCAGUUGAAGCGAUUCUCCUGCCUCAGCCACCUGAGUAGCUGAGAUUAUAGGUGCCUGCCCCCAUGCCCAGCUAAUUUUUGUAUUUUUAGUAGAGACAGAGUUUCACCAUGUUGGCCAGGCUGGUCUCGAACUCCUGAGCUCAGCCAAUCUGCAGUCCUCAGCCUCCCAAAGUGCUGGGAUUACAGGCAUGAGCCACCACGCCCAGCCUCAUAUUGUUUUGACUUUCCCUAAGGAUAGUAAUCUUAAGGAAUUACUAUUCCUUGAGAAUAGUAAUCAGGAUUUAUCCAGUUAAAUAGUCUUAACUGUUAUAAACCAUAUUAUUUUAUAAAGCGUCAUUUUUCUUGGUCGAGCAAGUGUAUAGUAUUGUCGAAAUGAAAUUUAUCUGUCUGCCUUCUUUUUACUUUAAGAAGUACUUCUCUGGGUUUUUGUUUUCUUCCUUUCCUUUGUGUAGGCCAUAGGAAAAGGAUACAGAGUAGAGUUUCAUGAACCUGAAACUUGGUGGAAAUUUGAUCCUGAAGAAUUAGAAAAGAGGAAUAAACAUGGUGUGUCUCGAAAGAAGAUUGCUCAGAUGUUGGAUCGUUAUGAAUAUCAAAUGUCCAUUUCUAUUGUAAUGAAUUCAGUGGAACCAUCACACAAAAGCACACAAAGACCUCCUCCUCCGCAGGGGAGACAGAGGUGGGGAGGCUCUCUUGGCUCACAUAAUCAUGUCUGUGUCACAAAUAAUCAUUAAAUUAGCUAUUUUCAGCUAACACAUUUGUUGUUGCACUUGAAAAAGAGUUAGUGAGCCUGUCUUGGAGUUUAAAUAGUUUCAAAUAAAAAAAGGCUACAUUGCCUCACAAAGGAUGUUCCCAGCAAGUUGUUUAAAUUCCCAGCAAGUUGUUAAAGUGUAAAUAAAAAUAUAUGAAAUUGUAUUUUAAAUGUUUUUAUAUUCUCUUGUUGUAAUACUCUUGGCUGUUAUGGAAGCACCUGAGUAAUAGAGUGGUGGGUAGGAGCUAGGAUGUUUUUCUACAAUCGAAUUUUAAACUAAUUUAUCUAUUUUAUAGAUACUAUUGAACAGUUUUUUAAUAGUUCAUAUCUAAAUCUAACUUUUCAUAAAACUUUAGGGUUUUUCCUUCACUACCUUAAAUAUGCAAGAAAUACUGACUUGGUAUAGGGUACCUUAGUUUUCUCAAUUCAUUAGACAGGUAAAAUUAUAUUUCAGCUGAUUGAUCUGUGUGACAAAAUUAUUUCUUAGCUAUAAUCAGCACAUCACUUAGUUCAAACAAAAUUCCCCAGCAAAUGUUAGAUAGUAGGUAUAUCAAUCACCUGGGGAGUUUUCUUCAUAAUAUGCAUAUUCAUCUUGUAAUGCAUACAUAGUUAUCAUCCUCCUUCUCAACCCAUCUCCCUAACCCCACAUGCUUGCCAGUUCUUGAAGGGAUAAAGCGAUUCUAAUAAUGUUUUACUUCUCUCUGUUCAAUUUAAUGUGAUAUAAUUCUAGUAUAAAAAUAUUUUGGACAGUUGCUUAACAUGGUCAUAAGAGGAUUUGUACUAUAGAAUAUCUUCUAGUACUAAUUUUUCUGUAGAGCAAAUUAUAUUUCUCUCACUGGAUAGUUUUUAGAUGUGUUUCUUCAUAUAAAAUUAAAAACUGAGAUGGAAUUC
rnacentral:sRNA from 1 species